rnacentral:rRNA from 1 species
UACGGGGGGGGUAAGCGUUGUUCGGAAUUACUGGGCGUAAAGGGCUCGUAGGCGGCCAACUAAGUCAUACGUGAAAUCCCUCAGCUUAACUGGGGAACUGCGUGUGAUACUGGAUGGCUUGGAUUUGGGAGAGGGAUGCGGAAUUCUUGGUGUAGCGGUGAAAUGCGUAGAUAUCAAGAGGAACACCUGAGGUGAAGACGGGUUGCUGGGCUGACACUGACGCUGAGGCGCGAAAGCCAGGGGAGCAAACGGG